rnacentral:tRNA from 3 species
CGGGAUGUGGCGCAGCUUGGUAGCGCAUCCGCUUUGGGAGCGGAGGGUCGCAGGUUCGAAUCCUGUCAUCCCGAC